GUCCUUGUAGUAUAUCCAAUUACCCCGGCCUUGUAAACCGGAAAAGGAGGCACGCUAACUCCCCAGGACA
rnacentral:tRNA from 2 species